GCUGGGAGCAGUGGUGUACACCUGUAAUCCCAGCAACUUGGGAGGCUGAGGCAGGAGGAUCACAAGUUCAAAGCCAGCCUUCAGCAACUUAGUGAGACUUUGAGCAGUUUAGUGAAACCCUGACUCAA
rnacentral:sRNA from 1 species